ACUAAACUCACCUCCCUAUGUUCUAGCUUCUUCUUCCUUCUCUCUCAACCUGUUCAUGACCUUGAUUCUAAUAUCCUCAAGCAUCUUCAAGAUAGGCUCGCCUCUUGCUUCUAAGAUCCAAGAGUUGAAGGACUCUAUAAAAUUAUUGUCCACCAUCUAAUGUUUGCACAAUGUAUCAAAGUAGGACCUACACCAAUUCUGUGGUGGAUACCUAAGAAACUCCUUGGCAGCAUCAACAGACAUUUCACCAAGACUCUUUAGUUGAUCUUUAAAGUCCUCUUCAUAAGUGCUCAAAGCACACCACAAUAGGUAGUUCUUCAUCUAUCCUGAAAUUCUCAUCUUUUUACUCCAAUUGGCUUCAAUAUGCCUCACAUAAAACCUAUGAUUUGAGAGCGG
rnacentral:lncRNA from 1 species